rnacentral:rRNA from 1 species
GACGAACGCUGGCGGCGUGCUUAACACAUGCAAGUCGAACGGAAAGGCCCUGCUUUUGUGGGGUGCUCGAGUGGCGAACGGGGGAGUAACACGUGAGUAACCUGCCCUUGACUUUGGGAUAACUUCAGGAAACUGGGGCUAAUAACGGAUAGGAGCUCCUGCUGCAUGGUGGGGGGUGGAAAGGUUCGGCGGUUGGGGAUGGACUCGCGGCGUAUCAGCCUGUUGGUGGGGUAGUGGCUUACCAAGGCUUUGACGGGUAGCCCGCCUGAGAGGGUGACCGGCGACAUUGGGACUGAGGUACGGACCAGAAUCGUACGGGAGGCAGAAGUGGGGAAUAUUGCGCAAUGGGCGGGAGCCUGAUGCAGCAACGCCGCGUGCGGGAUGAUGGCUUUCGGGUUGUAAACCGCUUUCGCCUGUGACGAAGCGUGAGUGACGGUAAUGGGUAAAGAAGCAACGGCUAACUACGUG